UACGUAGGGUGCGAGCGUUGUCCGGAAUUAUUGGGCGUAAAGAGCUUGUAGGCGGUCUGUCGCGUCUGCUGUGAAAAUCCGGGGCUCAACCUCGGACUUGCAGUGGGUACGGGCAGACUAGAGUGUGGUAGGGGAGACUGGAAUUCCUGGUGUAGCGGUGGAAUGCGCAGAUAUCAGGAGGAACACCGAUGGCGAAGGCAGGUCUCUGGGCCAUUACUGACACUGAGAAGCGAAAGCAUGGGGAGCGAACAGG
rnacentral:rRNA from 1 species